ensembl:snoRNA LOC120101329 small nucleolar RNA SNORA17
CCUGCCAGAGGAUUACAGGCAUGGCUGUUAUGUAACAUGUGCAUCAGUAGGUGGCAGAAAGACAGGCUAUGUCUUCACUCAGUGUUCUGAUUUGUGAACAUUUAAAUAAUCAGUAGCCUUACCAU